GGUAUGCUGGUAAGUGAAUUUGGAUAAAAAUACUAUGAAACAUGUUGUGCUUCAACACCCUCUCAAUAUAUUGAUAACGUAUUUAUGCUAUUUGCCUGUUUUAUUCUAUGUCCUUGUUUUAUAGUCACAUUUAUCACGUGCUUCCUACAUCUUCGUAUUUUGUAGUAACCCAUGGUGCCAAUCGACCUCUGACGAAAAGAUCCGAAAUGAAUGGAUUGCCAAUAUGCAACUCGUUUAGCUGAUUGAUUGGUUUAUCCGUCACGUUGAUGAAGAUACUGAUCAAUGCAAACAUUGAUGAAGAAGUUCCAGCUGCACCAAAAACUACAAGUCGUAGGAAAAGGGGGAUCAUAUCUAAUCUCUAAAUGCCUGGCUCAUUGGGAGAACUACCCGUCCAAAGAAAAAAACAGAAGUUACUUUUGGAUUCAUUUAAGUUCUUUAAAAAGAGAUUUCAAUCAAUAUCUGUGGAGAUCCUUGAGGUCUUGAGGUCAUACAACAAAAGCAAGAAGUUGAAGUGAAAAUCGGUGAAGCUCCCUCUUUCCACAUCUGUAGGAAAUGACUCAGGGAAAU